AAUACAGGGUUCUAGGUUAGUGUAGGAAAAAAAACUGGUGUAUUUUAUUCCACAAGAAGCUUUUGGUAAAUUAUUUAUUAAGGAAACAACUGUUGGACAUUGAGAUGGCUUUUAAAGAUUUACCUAGAAGAGAUAAUAAAACAGAUAAAACUGAUCUGCUCAGGGGCCUGUCUUCAGUCUUUUCAGGCUCGUUUACUGUGGUGUUCAUGCCAGCGCAGCCUGGUAGACAGUGUUGCUGUGGCUGUAGAAAUAACACUGCUCAUUUUUAUGGAGGAUAUUGCUGUAUGCCAGUUAAAGAAAUUCAAGUUGAAAGACCUUUAAAUUUUUUUUAAUAAUACACUUCCUUCCCCACCCCCAAGCUGUCACCAUGAUUAUGAUGCCAGGAAAGCAGUGCGGUGGCUCCAGGAUUGUUCUCCCAUGGGCUGUGUGCCAGGUGGAUGAAGUAGUCAGGAGGGCCACAGUUGGGUUUAUGUACAACCUAGAUAUCAUCUACUUGUGCUGGUUGACCCUCCAUUUUCUAAAGGCAAUUUCCAAAGGGAGUUGCUUUUGUUGUUACUAUUAGAACGGUUGCCUUUUUUCCAUAUGAUCUCUUCUCUGUCACUUAGGUUCUGUAUUCUAUAUAGAAAAGUAUGGAGGGAAAGGGAAGAAUCAGGAAAGAUAGUGAAUGCAAGAAUAUUGGGGGUUAUGAUGUGGUUAAGUUAGAUUGUGCCUCAAAACACUGAAAAGAUUGGAGUUUCGGGUCAGGAGCUCUGGAUUAAAGGCCAACGGGAAUCUUUUAAACUUCUUGGUUGUGUGUGUGUGUCGGUGUGUGAAGUCAGAGGCAGACGAUGAGAGAAAUAAAUUGAGAUGGAGAGAAAAUAAUAUGAAUGCUUAGAAGAUUUUAAAUUCAGGGCUGGGCGUGAGCCAGUGUACCCAGCCUCUUGUGUUUAUUUAAAAAGAAAUACUGGCGUUUGUCGAAUGAUGGAGUCUUAUUUUCAAACUUUU
rnacentral:lncRNA from 1 species